rnacentral:tmRNA from 1 species
GGGGGUGUAAAGGUUUCGACGGGGAUGUUGCGAUAUGAUAAGCGUGGCGGGCUGAGUAAUCCCGUUACAAUGCUCAAACUAAACAAUAAACGACAACAGAACUGUUGCUUUGGCUGCUUGAUUAACGCCUCUUUGUGAGGCUUAAUCAGCGGUGCUGCGGUUUAUUAACCGCCCGUUCCCCUUCCAAGUACCACGGUGGAAGGCUGAGCGUCAUUUGAGUGGUGAACUUGCGCGGGUGUUUCGCCCUUGAACCCGCCAAGCAAAAAAGGGCUACCUUGACCAAGAGCGUGUCUGUUCGCGCUUGCGAUAGGGAAAGUUAAAAGCAGACUGUCCACGAAGAAAGUCAUAUUUAGAUGUUCUCGGACACGGGUUCGAUUCCCGUCAUCUCCACCA